CGAUUUUCGCAAUGCCCGAAAGGGUGACGAAGCGACGCCGCGUGCGGGAAGAAGGCCUUCGGGUUGUAAACCGCUGUCGGGAGUUAAGAAAUGUAAGGAUGUUAAUAGCAUCUUUGCUUGACUAAGGCUCCGGAGGAAGCCACGGCUAACUCUGUGCCAGCAGCCGCGGUAAUACAGAGGCGGCAAGCGUUGUUCGGAAUUAUUGGGCGUAAAGAGCACGUAGGCGGCUAUGUAAGUCGGUUGUGAAAGCCUUCCGCUCAACGGGAGAACAGCAUCCGAUACUGCAUGGCUUGAGUGCGGGAGGGGAGAGUGGAACUUCUGGUGGAGCGGUGAAAUGCGUAGAUAUCAGAAGGAACGCCGGCGGCGAAAGCGGCUCUCUGGCCCAUAACUGACGCUGAGUGUGCGAAAGCUAGGGGAGCAAACGGGAUUAGAUACCCCGGUAGUCCUAGCCGUAAACGAUGGGCACUAAGUAGAGGGGUUUU
rnacentral:rRNA from 1 species